ensembl:lncRNA
UGUCUUUGCUUCUUGCUUCUGUAGGAGGACUAAGUUAAGGCAUGGGCAGUAGGAGCAAAGACAAACGUGUUCUUAGCAGACCAUGGCUAAAGCGGGCGUUGAAGGAAACACCACAAGAGGAAAGAGGAUGAGCCCGAUUUAUUAACUUCCUCACGAUUUGAAUAGCCCACAAAUCUGAGUGUCGUUAGACUCAAACCAGGAGCUACCUGGGUGAAGAAGUUAAGUGAAACCAGCAUGGGUAGCCAGAGUUGCCAUUUGAGUGUCUGGAAUGAAAAGGGCUUCAUUCGUGCAUGCUUAAGUAAUUCAUCAAUUAUAAUGGAGAAGAGAAAAUAUGUGAAAUAGAACCACACAAGAGGAAAUAAACAUUCAACAGUAAGUUGGUACUGGAGGAUCUCCCUAUUUCACCUGUCAAAAGGCCAAUUUUCCCUGCUAAAAGAAAUCAGGGAAAGCCCCUAUCAGCUGGCAACUCAUACCAAAACACUGCUUAGGUGAGGGCGUGGGAUGAAGGUGUGGAGGUAAACCCUGACUUCUUCCCCACUAUAUCGAGGGUCAUCUUUCUGGCCUGGUGCUGAGUGGGUGGGCUUUCGUUGCCUACUGUGGCUUCAAGGACUGUUUCUGGAAUCUUCCAGGUUUAAGGCCAGCAGGGUUGCAUGACAGCAGAAGCAGUUUCCAGUGGUUUCUUGGCUUUCAGCUGCUUCCCUGUUUGCUCUUUUGUUAUGGCUACUAGUUUAAAACUCCUCCUCUGUUUAUUUGUUUGUCAGUAGGUAUAUGAGAUGAAGUCAGCCCUCAGCCAGGCUCUGCCUUGGAGGACUCUGCAAGGAAAGGGGUCACUUUACCUGUUUUGACCCCACUGGGUGGUUGUCCUGGAGCUGAAUGCAUCAAUUCAGGGGGAGAGAAGGAGGAGACUGCUCAGAAGGAAGAGUCCUGGCUUAGCUUUGAGUUUCGUGUUAGAAUUGUUAUGUGCAAAGUGGGAGAAUCUUCCAGUCCAUGCUUUGCUAAGAAAGUAUUUCCCAAAUUCCAAUAAGUUUCCAUCUGCCUGUGAAAGUAGACCCUGGGGGUCUGAGCACUGGGUGUUAUUAUCUUAUAACAUGAUGUGCAGAACAGAGAAUCCAACAUAAGGAAGUUACACAUUGAUCACUAGCUAGCGGGUAAACUGGCCCUUUCAGACUGGCCCUUCCCCUCUGAUGGCCCUCACCCCGCAAAAAAUUCUCAAUUGAGACUUCCAGAAAGGAAGCAAACCUAGCAGCCUAUUAGCAUACAGUGGGCCAAUUUCUGUGGUUAAGUAAAUAAGUUACUAAAAACAUAAUAGCUGUCUGGGAGCUUUCUGGUUGCAGUUUGGAAUUAAAGGAGUAAUAUAAUAGUGGUCACAGAAAUAAAUAUACUAAUUCAGGCAAAUAAGUGAAACCUGUCAAGUUGUAUUAUUCACUUCCAAAUAACUUGCUGUAUCUGAAACUUUAAGUAUACAAAAACAAGAAGUAGAAUCCAAAAGCUAGAAUUUUCUCUGACCUUCCUUAUGGUAAAUCUUAUGCUUCGGAUGCCAGGCAUAUCAGAUUCCAAUAUACAACAAGUCGAAAAAUGAGACAUAAAACAAAUAUGAUUUGGGGUGGGGAUUAUUUCUCUCAAAUUCAAAAUUGCAAAGGGAUAAUGGUUUGAUACUCUGCCUUCAAGGAGAAAUGUAGCAACCAGUUUUUAUUUCGCCAUUCACAAUAUCAUUCAUUGAUUCAUUUAUAAAACAAGUGUUUGUCUAUUCUGUGUUAGGCACUGUGUAAGAUGUUGGG